rnacentral:tRNA from 1 species
GUCAAAUUAGCAAAGAUUGUGCAAAUAGUUUAGAACUAUUAUAUGAAGGUUAAAGCCCAUCAUUUGAU